UACGAAGGGUGCAAGCGUUACUCGGAAUUACUGGGCGUAAAGGGUGUGUAGGUGGUUUUUUAAGUCCGUUGUGAAAUCCCUGGGCUCAACCUGGGAAUGGCAGUGGAUACUGGAAAGCUAGAGUGCGGUAGAGGGUAGUGGAAUUCCCGGUGUAGCAGUGAAAUGCGUAGAGAUCGGGAGGAACACCAGUGGCGAAGGCGGCUACCUGGACCAGCACUGACACUGAGGCACGAAAGCGUGGGGAGCAAACAGG
rnacentral:rRNA from 1 species